UACGGAGGGUGCGAGCGUUGUCCGGAAUCACUGGGCGUAAAGGGCGCGUAGGCGGCCUGAUAAGUAGGGGGUGAAAUCCUGAGGCUUAACCUCAGGGCUGCCUUCUAAACUGUCGGGCUCGAGCACAGUAGAGGCAGGUGGAAUUCCCGGUGUAGCGGUGGAAUGCGUAGAGAUCGGGAAGAACAUCAGUGGCGAAGGCGGCCUGCUGGGCUGUUGCUGACGCUGAGGCGCGACAGCGUGGGGAGCAAACGGG
rnacentral:rRNA from 1 species